UACGUAGGUGGCGAGCGUUGUCCGGAUUUACUGGGCGUAAAGAGCGCGCAGGCGGUCGUACAAGUCGCGUGUGAAAGCCCCCGGCUCAACUGGGGAGGGUCACGCGAUACUGUUCGACUCGAAGGCAGGAGAGGGAAGCGGAAUUCCCGGUGUAGUGGUGAAAUGCGUAGAUAUCUGGAGGAACACCGGUGGCGAAGGCGGCAUUCUGGACUGUAACUGACACUGAGGAACGAAAGCCAGGGGAGCAAACGGG
rnacentral:rRNA from 1 species